rnacentral:rRNA from 1 species
GACGAACGCUGGCGGCGUGCUUAACACAUGCAAGUCGAGCGGGGAACUUCGGUUCCCAGCGGCGGACGGGUGAGUAACACGUGGGUAACCUGCCUUACAGUGGGGAAUAGCCUUCCGCAAGGAAGAUUAAUACCGCAUAAUACUCAGAGAUCACAUGAUCUUUGAGCCAAAGGAUUUAUUCGCUGUAAGAUGGACCCGCGGCGCAUUAGCUAGUUGGUGAGGUAACGGCUCACCAAGGCUUCGAUGCGUAGCCGACCUGAGAGGGUGAUCGGCCACAUUGGAACUGAGACACGGUCCAGACUCCUACGGGAGGCAGCAGUGGGGAAUAUUGCACAAUGGAGGAAACUCUGAUGCAGCAACGCCGCGUGAGUGAUGAAGGUCUUCGGAUCGUAAAACUCUGUCUUAUGGGACGAUAAUGACGGUACCAUAGGAGGAAGCCACGGCUAACUACGUGCCAGCCGCCGCGGUAA